GGCGUGUCCGUGGCGUGCCCUCAAAGUUGGCCAUUUAGAACAAAUGUCACACUGUGAUGUCAUUUUGGCCUUUCAGGGCUUCUAUUUGAAUGAUUUCCUCUGACACGUUCUAACGGAUCUUCUUCAAAAUUGGGCAGUACAGUCACAACAUGGUGCUGAAUGAACGCAUUUCAUUUUGUGACUGUACGUUGAAGGGCGUGUCCGUGGCGUGCCGUCAAAGUUGGCCAUUUUGAAGCCCGUGGUCCUGUAUUUGAACAAACAAACUCCUUGAGACUUUAUCAGAUCUGCUUCAAAACUUGACAGUACUCUUGAAUAAUCUUGCUGAUUACAAGUUGUGCUAUUUAUGACUGUACGUUGAAGGGCGUGUCCCAGGUGUCUCGUCAAAGUUGGACAUUUUGAAUUCUGUGGUCUUUUUUUUCAAAGUGAUGAAACACAAACACCCCUCCGCUCCCACUAGCCACAUCUACAAACCAUAUUUCCUAGGGAGUAUUGUUCGUGGAGCAUAGUGUGAAACCGCUGGAAGUCACUUAUUAAAUUGCAAGAUAAAUAGGGGACUUAUCAAAUCGACUUCAAAAUUGGACAGUCUUAUAAAAACAAAGUGUACAUGAAGAAUUGAGCUAUUUGUGACUGUACGUCAAACUGCGUGCCACUGACCCCUUGUCGAAUUCAGAUGAUUUUCCAUUAAGCGGUACUCAUAACUUCAGUGUGCAAUGUCCAAUUUCCAAUAAACUUCAUAUAUUCUGUAA